UAAGGCCUAGGGGGGCAGCAGUGAGGAAUAUUGGUCAAUGGACGAAAGUCUGAACCAGCCAUGCCGCGUGCAGGAAGACGGCUCUAUGAGUUGUAAACUGCUUUUGUACAAGGGUAAACCUGAAUACGUGUAUUCAGCUGAAAGUACUGUACGAAUAAGGAUCGGCUAACUCCGUGCCAGCAGCCGCGGUAAUACGGAGGAUCCAAGCGUUAUCCGGAUUUAUUGGGUUUAAAGGGUGCGUAGGCGGAUUGAUAAGUUAGAGGUGAAAUGUCCGGGCUCAACUCGGGAACUGCCUCUAAUACUGU
rnacentral:rRNA from 1 species